rnacentral:lncRNA from 10 species
CUAUGAUUUCUUUCAUACAAAUGAUUUCCGCAUUUGUGAUUUAAUCUUUCAUUUGGCGUCAUUUUGGGGUCGAUUUAUUGCAGGUGUUUGAAAUCAGAAAACAAGUGAGGCUUAAUCAAGAUAGGAGUUUAUUUCUCUCUCCCAAAAGAAGUCUGGAAGCAGGCAGGCCCGGGCUGUGACUGGGCCUUCGUGAACUAAGUCCUAAAGAUCUAGACUGGUAGCCCUCUGGCCUCCUCAGAAGAAAGAGAGACGGAGGACAGGCUUCUCCCUGGGAAAAACUGCCCGGAAACCCCUCACAGCACUUCUUGGAUUCCUUUGGACAGAACUUGAUCAACAUGGCAACAGCUGAAUGAAAGGGAAUUUGGAAAGUGUCAUUUUAAGUCUGGCUGGCUCUGUGCCUUCCUCAUUUCAGAGUCCCGUCCCUGACGAAGCAGGAGACACAACCAGCAGACUCUGCCACAGUCUUCGCGUAUAUACCCCAUGUGACGCCUGUAUCCUCAGUCCUUGGAAAGCUAACUGGAAAAAAAGUACAAAAGAAAAGCAGAAAAACCCACAUCUAGAAGAGGACAAUAGCAGAAGCGUGUGGGAGGCAGCGAUGUGGGGCUCAAGAGGCGACAGGUGAGCAGGGGCACCUGGAAGAAAGCAUUUCAGGUGCGGAGAACAGUGUGCUGAGGACAACGGGCCAAUGCAGCUUUGAUUCCUUCCUUCAAGUCGGUUUUCAGAGGGCACCAAGGUCCACAAUGAUCCUUUUCUCAGGAUGGUUUCCAGGAGUUUGUGUUUAAAUAAACACCUUGCAUGACCUUUGCAAAGAAAGUCUGAGCACCGCUACCUACUACUUGCAAUUAAAACCCGUCUUCCUGAAACGGCAGAGUGUUAAGAUGGGAGAGGCCAUACAGGUCAUUUUACAGCCCAAGAACCCAAGGUCUGGGGAGGUUAAGUGAUCGGAGCGCCAGGAGGGUCCUUGUUUGUCAGGCCCCAUGCUCAAGUUUAAUGCUCCUGUCCUGCAUAGUCUGUUCUGGGCUCAGAACUACAGAAUCCAGAG